rnacentral:rRNA from 1 species
UGGGGAAUAUUGCACAAUGGGCGCAAGCCUGAUGCAGCCAUGCCGCGUGUGUGAAGAAGGCCUUCGGGUUGUAAAGCACUUUCAGCGAGGAGGAAGGUGGUGAACUUAAUACGUUCAUCAAUUGACGUUACUCGCAGAAGAAGCACCGGCUAACUCCGUGCCAGCAGCCGCGGUAAUACGGAGGGUGCAAGCGUUAAUCGGAAUUACUGGGCGUAAAGCGCACGCAGGCGGUUUGUUAAGUCAGAUGUGAAAUCCCCGGGCUCAACCUGGGAACUGCAUUUGAAACUGGCAAGCUAGAGUCUCGUAGAGGGGGGUAGAAUUCCAGGUGUAGCGGUGAAAUGCGUAGAGAUCUGGAGGAAUACCGGUGGCGAAGGCGGCCCCCUGGACGAAGACUGACGCUCAGGUGCGAAAAGCGUGGGGAGCAAACAGAUUAGNUACCCCUGGUAGUCCACGCUGUAAAACGAUGUCGA